rnacentral:rRNA from 1 species
UGAGGAAUAUUGGUCAAUGGGCGAGAGCCUGAACCAGCCAAGUAGCGUGCAGGAUGACGGCCCUAUGGGUUGUAAACUGCUUUUAUGCGGGGAUAAAGUGUGCGACGUGUCGUGCAUUGCAGGUACCGCAUGAAUAAGGACCGGCUAAUUCCGUGCCAGCAGCCGCGGUAAUACGGAAGGUCCGGGCGUUAUCCGGAUUUAUUGGGUUUAAAGGGAGCGUAGGCCGCCAGAUAAGCGUGUUGUGAAAUGUACCGGCUCAACCGGUGAAUUGCAGCGCGAACUGUUUGGCUUGAGUGCACGGUAAGCAGGCAGAAUUCAUGGUGUAGCGGUGAAAUGCUUAGAUAUCAUGAGGAACUCCGAUUGCGAAGGCAGCUUGCUGCAGUGCGACUGACGCUGAUGCUCGAAGGUGCGGGUAUCAAACAGG